CAGCAGCCGCGGUAAUACCGGCGGCCCGAGUGGCGGUCACUAUUAUUGGGCUUAAAGCGUCCGUAGCCGGGUUGGGAAGUCCUCCGGGGAAUCUGGCCGCUUAACGGUCAGAAUGCCGGAGGAUACUCCCAGCCUAGGGAGCGGGGGAGGCCGAGGGUAUUCCCGGAGUAGGGGGGAAAUCCUAUAAUCCCGGGAGGACCACCUGUGGCGAAGGCGCUCGGCUGGAACGCGUCCGACGGUGAGGGACGAAGGCCAGGGGAGCAAACCGGAUUAGAUACCCGGGUAGUCCUGGCUGUAAACGAUGCGGACUUUGUGUCGGACAAGCUAUGAGCUUGUCCGGUGCCGGAGGGAAACCGUUAAGUCCGCCGCCUGGGGAGUACGGCCGCAAGGCUGAAACUUAAAGGAAUUGGCGGG
rnacentral:rRNA from 1 species